rfam:Asian citrus Psyllid, Diaphorina citri - Florida Strain, whole genome shotgun sequence.
AUCACUUCUCGGCCUUUUGGCUAAGAUCAAAGUGUAAUAUCUGAUCUUAUCAGCUUAAAAAUAAUGGAAUUACAUAUAAAUAUAACAAAUUACAUUUGAAUAUUCUACUUAGAUGGUUCCAGAAGUCAGUGCUGUCUACAACACAAGACAAAUGACAUCUGAACUGAUGGACUGACUUUUUCUGUACAAAUGACUUUUU